rnacentral:misc_RNA from 1 species
CGCACCUUGCGCUCCUUGGUAUUCCGAGGAGCAUACCUGUUUGAGUGUCAUUAAAUUCUCAACCUCACCAAUUUUUUUGAUGAUGGUUUGGACUUUGGGGGUUUAUUUGCUAGUGAUUCAAUCAUCAGCUCCCCUUAAAUUGAUUAGCUGGUACCCUGCGCGGACUGUCUAUUGGUGUGAUAAUUAUCUACGCCGUUGACUGCUGCCUUAGAUAGGUGUACUGCUUAUAAUCGUCUUCGGACACUACAUGACAAUUUGGCCUCAAAUCAGGUAGGACUACCCGCUGAACUUAA